rnacentral:rRNA from 1 species
UUAAGUAAGGAAGGGCGUACGGCGAAUGCCUUGCCACUCGAAACUGAAGAAGGACGCGCCAAACUGCGAAAAGCUCCGUGAAGCUGUAAGGAAGCGAAGAAGCGGAGGUGUCCGAAUGGGGGAACCCGGCAGCAGACAUGAGCUGUCAUCUGCAGGUGAAUACAUGGCCUGCAAGAGAGGUACCCGGCGAACUGAAACAUCUAAGUAGCCGGAGGAAAAGAAAACAACAGUGAUUCCCUGAGUAGCGGCGAGCGAAAGGGGAGAAGCCCAAACCGGUCCGAGGGCCGGGGUUGAAGGACCAUGAUAUGGCAAGAACGAGGAUAGGAGAACGGGAUCGAAAGCCCGGCCGAAGAAGGUGAAAGCCCUGUAACCGAAAUCCAAGGGAAGCCUAAUGGGAUCCUGAGUACGGCGAGACACGAGAAAUCUUGUCGGAAGCAGGCGGGACCAUCCGCCAAGGCUAAAUAUAAACGAGUGAGCGAUAGUGAACCAGUACCGUGAGGGAAAGGUGAAAAGAACCGCGGGAGCGGAGUGAAAGAGAACCUGAAACCGUAUGCCUACAAGAAGUCAGAGCCCGUUAAGGGGUGAUGGCGUGCCUUUUGUAGAAUGAACCGGCGAGUUGCGACAGACUGCGAGGUUAAGGAGGAAAGACCGGAGCCGAAGCGAAAGCGAGUCUUAAGAGGGCGAAAGUAGGAUGUUGCAGACCCGAAACCGGGUGAUCUAGCCAUGAGCAGGUUGAAGUUGAGGUGAAACUCAAUGGAGGACCGAACCGACUACCGUUGAAAAGUUAGCGGAUGACUUGUGGCUAGGGGAGAAAUUCCAAUCGAACCCGGAGAUAGCUGGUUCUCCCCGAAAUAGCUUUAGGGCUAGCGUCGGAAAGAACCUUAGUGAAGGUAGAGCACUGAAUGUGUGAUGGCCCCAUCCCGGGGUACUGAAUACAAUCAAACUGCGAAUGUCAUUAAGGAUGUCCGGCAGUCAGACUGUGAGUGAUAAGGUCCAUGGUCAAGAGGGAAACAGCCCAGACCGCCAGUUAAGGUCCCAAAAUACAGGCUAAGUGGAAAAGGAUGUGGGGAUGCCCAGACAACUAGGAGGUUGGCUCAGAAGCAGCCAUCCUUUAAAGAGUGCGUAACAGCUCACUAGUCGAGUGACCCUGCGCCGAAAAUGUACCGGGGCUAAGCCUGAUACCGAAACUGCGGAUUGUAGGAAACUAUAGUGGUAGGGGAGCGUUGUAUACGAGCAGAAGCCGUACCGUGAGGAGCGGUGGAUUGUAUAGAAGUGAGAAUGCCGGUGUGAGUAGCGAGAUGUAGGUGAGAAUCCUACACACCGAAAGCCCAAGGAUUCCAGGGGAAGGUUCGUCCGCCCUGGGUAAGUCGGGACCUAACGCGAGGCCGAAAGGCGUAGUGGAUGGAAAGCAGGCGAAAGAUUCCUGCACCCGUAUAUGGAGCGAAGGAGUGACGGAGACGGAUAGUGUGACCCUCUUAAUGGAUUGAGGGCGAAGCGAAGCGGCUGGUUACCAGGCAAAUCCGGUAACUGAAAGGCUAGAGCGUGACAGGUAAGCGAAAUCUUAGGAAAGUAGCGAAGCACAUGAUGACGGCUUCCAGGAAAAGCUUCUGGCAAUGCAUAUGCGGCCCGUACCAAAACCGACACAGGUGGGCAGGGAGAGAAUCCCGAGGUGAGCGAGAGAACUGUUGCCAAGGAACUCGGCAAAAUGACUCCGUAAGUUAGCGAGAAGGAGUGCUUAAGCAAUUAAGCCGCAGUGAAGAGGCCCAAGCGACUGUUUAACUAAAACACAGCUCUCUGCGAAGUCGCAAGACGAAGUAUAGGGGGUGACACCUGCCCGGUGCUGGAAGGUUAAGAGGAUCUGUUAAGAGCGAUCUGAAGCAGUGAUCCGAAGCCCCAGUGAACGGCGGCCGUAACUAUAACGGUCCUAAGGUAGCGAAAUUCCUUGUCAGGUAAGUUCUGACCCGCACGAAAGGUGUAACGAUUUGGGCGCUGUCUCGGCAGCAGACUCGGUGAAAUCUUAGUACCUGUGAAAAUGCAGGUUACCCGCAACUAGACGGAAAGACCCCAUGGAGCUUUACUGCAGCCUGAUAUUGAAUUCUGGUCAUACAUGUACAGGAUAGGUGGGAGACAAAGAGACGUGCACGCCAGUGUACGAGGAGUCGCCGUUGGGAUACCACUCUUGUGUGACCGGGGUUCUAACCUGGUAUCGAGAACAGGUACGGGGAGAGUGUCAGGUGGGCAGUUUGACUGGGGCGGUCGCCUCCCAAAGAGUAACGGAGGCGCCCAAAGAUACCCUCAGCUUGGAUGGAAACCAAGCGCA